UACGUAGGGGGCAAGCGUUGUCCGGAUUUACUGGGUGUAAAGGGUGCUCAGGUGGUUAUGCAAGUCAGGGGUGAAAUCCUAGGGCUUAACUCUGGAACUGCCUUUGAUACUGCAUAGCUUGUGUACGGAAGAGGCUGAUGGAAUUCCUGGUGUAGCAGUGAAAUGCGUAGAUAUCAGGAAGAACACCAGUGGCGAAGGCGGUCAGCUGGUCCGUUACAGACACUCAAGCACGAAAGCGUGGGGAGCAAACAGG
rnacentral:rRNA from 1 species